ACUCAAAUGAAUAGACGGGGGCCCGCACAAGCGGCGGAGCGUGUGGUUUAAUUCGAUGCAACGCGAAGAACCUUACCAAGGCUUGACAUGCUAGUAGUACGGAUUGGAAACAUGAAGGACCCUUCGGGGAGCUAGCACAGGUGCUGCAUGGCUGUCGUCAGCUCGUGCCGUGAGGUGUUGGGUUAAGUCCCGCAACGAGCGCAACCCUCGCCGUUAGUUAAAUAUCUCUAACGGGACCGCUGGGAUAAACCCAGAGGAAGGUGGGGAUGACGUCAAGUCAGCAUGGCCCUUACGUCUUGGGCUACACACACGCUACAAUGGCCGGUACAAUGGGCUGCCAAGCCGCGAGGCGGAGCUAAUCCCACAAAACCGGCCCCAGUUCAGAUUGCAGGCUGCAACUCGCCUGCAUGAAGGCGGAGUCGCUAGUAACCGCAGGUCAGCUACACUGCGGUGAAUACGUUCCCGGGCCUUGCACACACCGCCCGU
rnacentral:rRNA from 1 species